CCUGAGAGCCAGCAGGAAAAGAAACAAAACCUGAAGCUGAUGUCUCAGCAUCCUACUGUAAAUCUACAAGAAGUCAAACAUCUAAUGAAAUUGACUUUCUACACACAGCGUAAACAAGUCAACCAGGGGCAAAAUAUAAAAUGCCUUUUGGAAGAGUGGCCGUUUUGGUUCAGUGAACUUGGCAUGGCAGUUCACUUCAAGGAACUUACUGGAAUUGGUCUUCAAGAAACGUUCACACGAAAUCUGGAUUUGAAGGGCAAACGACUCUUAAACUACUUAAAUACUGUUGGUGUGAAGAAAAACAAAGUUUUUACAGGCAGUAACAAAGUUUGAAGUGAUGAGGGGAGAGCUAAUUGGUUGCUCUGAACAAAUGUUGCUGCUUUUGCUGUCUUACUUUAACGAGAAAGAAGAUGCAAUGUUGCGCUACGUGGAGGACACAUGCCUGGCAGGGGAAGUAGAAAUAAACCACGUUUGUUUGACUCCCACCAUUGUUGUGUGUGGUCAGUCCUGCUUUUCUUUGAAGAGAUUUAUGUUGUGUGGAUCAGAACAUUGUACUUGAAAACAUCACCUCUUUCAUCACUGCCUUCUGCUUGAUGUUUGGGAGCUUUUAUUGCUUUAAUAUUUAUUACCCAUCAGAACUGGCAUCAACUCUGGAGUUUUUGCAGAGGUGUUUUUUUUUUCUCCAUCAACCCAGAGAAGGGCACCAAAGUUGAGAAGACAAACACCGCCCGUCUUCCCGUAAACCCAAGAGUUCUUGCAUUGAUUCAGGAACUUUUAGAUCAUGAGUGGCAGGAUGUCUGAAUAUGGACUAAUGUCAGAUUUCUGACUUGAGACACACUCAACUUGAAGGACAGUUUCACCUUUUAUGUCCAGUUAUUUCAGAUUAAGAGGCAAGUAAAUGUUUCAAAUGAUAUUGUUUAAAGAUGC